CCCAGACUCCUACGGGAGGCAGCAGUGGGGAAUAUUGGGCAAUGGGCGCAAGCCUGACCCAGCAACGCCGCGUGAAGGAAGAAGGCUUUCGGGUUGUAAACUUCUUUUGUCAGGGACGAAGCAAGUGACGGUACCUGACGAAUAAGCCACGGCUAACUACGUGCCAGCAGCCGCGGUAAUACGUAGGUGGCAAGCGUUAUCCGGAUUUAUUGGGUGUAAAGGGCGUGUAGGCGGGAAUGCAAGUCAGAUGUGAAAACGAUGGGCUCAACCCAUAGCCUGCAUUUGAAACUGUAUUUCUUGAGUGCUGGAGAGGCAAUCGGAAUUCCGUGUGUAGCGGUGAAAUGCGUAGAUAUACGGAGGAACACCAGUGGCGAAGGCGGAUUGCUGGACAGUAACUGACGCUGAGGCGCGAAAGCGUGGGGAGCAAACAGGAUUAGAUACCCGAGUAAA
rnacentral:rRNA from 1 species